rnacentral:pre_miRNA from 1 species
AGUACGGAAGUACUCCAUUUUUCGUGUACAACUUUGACUGUAUGAAAUUUUUUUAUAAUUCGUAUUUUUAUUUAUGUUAGAUGAUAAAACAUGUUUAAUAUUUUAUGCGUGACUUGUCUUUUUAAAUUUUUUUCAUAAUUUUUCCAAAUAAGACGGACGGUCAAGUGUUUGGCACGGAAACCAGGGUUUAUCUUUUU